rnacentral:rRNA from 1 species
CUACGGGGGGCACCAGUGGGGAAUAUUGGACAAUGGGGGAAACCCUGAUCCAGCAAUGCCGCGUGUGUGAAGAAGGCCUGCGGGUUGUAAAGCACUUUCGGUUGGGAGGACUGCUUCUAGCACUAAUAUUGUUGGAAGUUGACGUUACCUUCAGAAGAAACACCGGCUAACUCCGGCCAGCAGCCGCGGUAUACGGAGGGUGCAAGCGUUAAUCGGAAUUACUGGGCGUAAAGCGCGCGUAGGCGGCUAGAUCAGUCGGGUGUGAAAGCCCCGGGCUUAACCUGGGAACUGCAUCCGAUACUGUCUAGCUUGAGUACAUGAGAGGAGAGUGGAAUUCCACAUGUAGCGGUGAAAUGCGUAGAUAUGUGGAGGAACACCAAUGGCGAAGGCAGCUCUCUGGCCUGAUACUGACGCUGAGGUGCGAAAGCGUGGGGAGCAAACAGGAUUAGAUACCCGUGUAGUC